rnacentral:piRNA from 1 species
UUUGCCGAAGAUUGUAUCCCUGGUGCUGG